AUAUAUUACUGUCUCUGGGUGUUGUUGUUCUGUCUCUGUGAUCUGAUCAGCGUAGUUUCUGUAAAGCCAAGCACACGUGCACUUGCGGAGGGAAGUAAACACUCACCAGAAUGAACGAGUGAAACUCCCGCGGCGAAUAGAACGGCUUGCAGUUAAUGAAGAGUGUUUCGAGAUCUGAGCAGAGUUCAUUGAAAUAAGAUUACUUAUAGUUAAAACAAUAAUUAUUGCAAUUAUUUCUAUAAAGUACAAGAAAUAAUGACACACCUUUCAAUAAUGCCCAAGUUAUUCGUUAACAGACCGUUUUAUCCAAAGCUAGUUAAGAAGCAGAGUUUUUAUAGUUAUUUAAAACCAUGAUCAUUACAAAAACUUUUUCACUACUUGUAAUAAACAUGAACUGAAAUAAAAUAUAAAGAACAUUUCAUUCCAGGUAGUUUCCAGGACACCAUUUCUCAAGUGCUUAAAUAACUAAAAUUAAAAGCAAUAAACACUAUAUAUUCCUACUAAACAAAUAAUACAAAAACAACAAAGUUGCUAAUCCAACAGAAAAUAACAAAAAUACUAUUCAUAAUACACUGCUCAAAAAAAUGAAGGGAACACUCUCACAUUGGAUCUCAAUUAAUGAAAUAUACAUAUAAUGAAAUGAGUUGAAAAUCUUUACUUGUAUACACUGUUUAAUUCGUUGAGAAGAAAAUGAUGUAACAAUGGUAAAUGGAAAGCAAAAUCAUCAACCCACUGAGGACUGGAUUCAGAAUUCCUGAUGAGAUGAUGGAGGAUCAGGACAUCAGAGAGCUCCUGGACGGUCUGUAGUGCUUCAGGACUGUCAGUGCUGUAGUGAUGGGUUACUCACGUCACUGAGGACGCUGAUCAUGGAUCAUGUGUCUCUUAAGGUGGUGUGGCCCACGCUUCUUUCCUCCCGUGGAGCUCACUGCCAAAGUCCAAACACAUUUAGAGAAGUCCGUAUUUCAAAAAUACCUAAGAGACAUCUAGUAGUUAGAUCCUGAAAAUGUAUAAUCACAGCUCUAUUUAUUUAGAGAAAGCUCUUAAACUCCAAAGAGACGUCUAGUGGAUAGAUCUUGAAAAUGUUUAGUCACAGGUGUAUCUAUUGAACCAUUUCUCACUCUCUAUUGUCAAACACCCUGAUGAAGGCCUGCUUGGGCUGAUACGCGUUUUUAAUAUGUAGCCCUGUCUUAUAAUUAAAGGCUUUUAAAGUUCUACCAAUGCAUUGUACACUUACCAAACCACAACCAGAAUACAUUUGGCAAUGUUCCAAACAUGAAGGAAAAAGAUCAAACUGUCAUGCAUGCAUUCAUUUGUCCAUAAAAAGCUGAAUUUGUGUUAUAUGUUAAACUACACAUAGGUGCAGUUAAGAAUCCUUAUUCUUCUGAACAAGCAUGAGAUGGGUGUGGUGUUGUGUGCAUCAGUUUUAAGGUUUGAAAACGGUUCUAAAUGGAUUUGAUAGAUCUCUGUGACCUCUCUGCUGCUGCAGUUUUUAUGCUGGUCACAGACCAAACCUUAGGAA
rnacentral:lncRNA from 1 species